GGCUCUUAGCAACAUAGAUGCCUUCUGUGCCCGUGAAAAGACAACAGCAAUCUGGAGCCGAGAAGAGGAAAAAAGUUUAAUGCUGUCACAAAAGAAGAUGAGGUGGAAUGACCAGCACUGCUCCAGAGGCAUUAGCAGCUGCACAGAUAUGACACAAGAUGCAGCACUGAGCACCGUCCAACUCUACAGAUGUAGAUGCCCAAAGCCAUCUUCCUGGUGCAUGAUUGUUCAUGAGGCAUUUAUCCGUAC